rnacentral:rRNA from 1 species
UACGUAGGGUCCGAGCGUUGUCCGGAAUUAUUGGGCGUAAAGGGCUCGUAGGCGGUUCGUCACGUCGGGAGUGAAAACUCGGGGCUUAACCCCGAGCCUGCUUCCGAUACGGGCAGACUAGAGGUAGGCAGGGGAGAGCGGAACUCCUGGUGUAGCGGUGGAAUGCGCAGAUAUCAGGAAGAACACCGGUGGCGAAGGCGGUUCUCUGGGACGGUACUGACGCUGAGACGCGAAAGCGUGGGGAGCGAACAGG